UGGCGGCGUGCUAUACAUGCAAGUCGAGCGGACCGACGGGAGCUUGCUCCCUUAGGUCAGCGGCGGACGGGUGAGUAACACGUGGGUAACCUGCCUGUAAGACUGGGAUAACUCCGGGAAACCGGGGCUAAUACCGGAUGCUUGAUUGAACCGCAUGGUUCAAUCAUAAAAGGCGGCUUCGGCUGCCGUUUACAGAUGGACCCGCGGCGCAUUAGCUAGUUGGUGAGGUAACGGCUCACCAAGGCGACGAUGCGUAGCCGAACUGAGAGGGUGAUCGGCCACACUGGGACUGAGACACGGCCCAAACUCCUACGGGAGGCAGCAGUAGGGAAUCCUCCGCAAUGGACGAAAGUCUGACGGAACAACGCCGCGUGAGUGAUGAAGGUUUUCGGAUCGUAAAGCUCUGUUGUUAGGGAAGAACAAGUACCGUUCGAAAUAGGGCGGUACCUUGACGGUGCCUAACCAGAAAGCCACGGCUAACUACGUGCCAGCAGCCGCGGUAAUACGUAGGUGGCAAGCGUUGUCCGGAAUUAUUGGGCGUAAAGCGCGCGCAGGCGGUUUCUUAAGUCUGAUGUGAAAGCCCCCGGCUCAACCGGGGGAGGGUCAUUGGAAACUGGGGAACUUGAGUGCAGAAGAGGAGAGU
rnacentral:rRNA from 1 species